AAAACAUCGCCUCCUGCAAACCCUCAAUGUAUAGGAGGUCCUGCCUGCCCAGUGACAUAUUGUUAAACGGCCGCGGUAUUCUGACCGUGCUAAGGUAGCGCAAUCACUUGUCUUUUAAAUGGAGACCUGUAUGAAUGGUGGAACGAGGGCUUAACUGUCUCCCUCCCUCAGUCAAUGAAAUUGAUCUGCCCGUGCAGAAGCGGACAUACAAAUACAAGACGAGAAGACCCUUUGGAGCUUAAGACAAAAAGCCAACUGUGUAAAAACCUCACAUUAAACGAGACCCAACAAAACAGCCAACUGGCCAGCGUCUUCGGUUGGGGCGACCACGGGGGAAAACAAAGCCCCCAUGCAGAACGGGAUAUUUCCCUAAACUAAGAGAGACAUCUCUAAGCCGCAGAACAUCUGACCAAAAGAUCCGGUCAAUAAAACCGAUCAACGAACCAAGUUACCCUAGGGAUAACAGCGCAAUCCCCUUUAAGAGUCCAUAUCGACAAGGGGGUUUACGACCUCGAUGUUGGAUCAGGACAUCCUAAUGGUGCAGCCGCUAUUAAGGGUUCGUUUGUUCAACGAUUAAAGUCCUACGUGAUCUGA
rnacentral:rRNA from 1 species